rnacentral:rRNA from 1 species
UACGGGGGGAGCAAGCGUUGUUCGGAUUUACUGGGCGUAAAGGGCGCGUAGGCGGCCACCGCAAGUCGACUGAGAAAUCUCCGGGCUUAACCCGGAAAGGUCAGCCGAUACUGCGGGGCUAGAGUGCAGAAGGGGCAACUGGAAUUCUCGGUGUAGCGGUGAAAUGCGUAGAUAUCGAGAGGAACACCUGCGGCGAAGGCGGGUUGCUGGGCUGACACUGACGCUGAGGCGCGAAAGCUAGGGGAGCGAACGGG